rnacentral:lncRNA from 1 species
UACAGGAUUCGCUUGUAGUCCAGAAGCGUAGACAAUGAACAAGCAGUACGAAUCUGCCUUUAAUAGAGACGGUAUUGUUCAACAGUCUUUCGUAUCCGAAACGCGGUAGUGCGGAUGUAACGUAAAUCACAUCAGAGACCAGGACACACACACACACCUCGGGCAGGAUGGUGUCCCGGUCGGCAUACUUCGCACCCGAUGGACCGACGAGAGGAACACAUGGCAACCUUGGCGACAAUGUAUAUUGGCAGAGUACCUGAGGAUUCAUUUAUGGCCUAACGGUUCUUCCAUAAAAUGUUCCAGAAGCGUAGCAACGGUCACGUACGCCUACAGGGUAGUGGGGAUAAUGAGAGAACAGAUGACCGAAAGUAAAAAGAUUGUAGGGACUCACUCUCGUACGGUCACGGCUAGAGCUCGGAAGUGUCUUAUAAGUGUAUAAACGAAAGAAAAAUAAAGUUUUCUUCUUCCUUAUAAAAUUUCUCUUUAUUUUACGUGACACGGACGUGCUACGAAAUAGUUACCUAUUUAAACGUUACAAUUUUUGUGUUUAUCAAGUGUUUGUGCAAUUGGAUGGGUCAAACGGCAACCAGAUAGACUAUUCCACAUGUGGAAAAUCCUCCCCUGAUGCACUUCGUGAUACACAAAGAAGCUUAUUCCAGUAACACAAUUCUCCAUAUAUUUUUUUUCAUGCUGUUAUGGUAAGUUUUUUCCCUACUUCUUUUUGAUUAUCGACUAUUACUGUAUUAUUUGCUAUAAUGUCUGCAUUUUAAUUGCAAAAUGCAUUGUUUCAUUUAAGAAACGUGGUACAGUAUAUUCAUUCGUUAUCUUUCUUAUUUAUUAACCAAAAAUUAUGAAUGAAAUAAAACAAAUCUCAGUUCUCAGAUUCUGAUUUAAAUAAUAUACCGAGUCUAAUAUCUACAAAAUAGUCUGAAACUUUCAAUUUUUCUAUGCAUUUUAUGUGUAGAUAUUUUAUUACACGUAGAAAUUUAUUAUACAUAGAAACCUAACCUCAAUAUUUAACCAAUGUCGAAACAAUAAGCGGUAGAAUAUCUCACGUGAUAUUGAUGUCAUCAAAAAUAGUUUUAACAAAAUUUGUUUAGUUCGAAAGAAGACAUCACAUACGGUACAAAUUACCUUUCUGUAGAUCCAGUAGUAGGGUCCCAUUUCAACUUCAUUUUUGCAAAUGGAAUCAUAUAUUUUUUAAUACAUUCAUCGAUCUAUUUUUGUAUUCCUUAUGAAAAGAUUAAAAGGAACUGUUAGUUCACCAGGUAUCUUAACUUAAAUUCGUCGUAUGAAAGCCAGGUAAGGACGCGAAACGGUACUCUUAUGUUUGCGGUGUCCUUGUCUUUUUUAUGUUUCAGCAUAAACACAAUACCGCUUUGUGUCCUACGCUUAUCUUUCAUACGACAAAUUCAACGUAAGAUAUAAUCUAAACUAACAGUUUUUCGACAUAAAUAGGUUAAUACUUUUGUAUACGAUAUGAAACGUUACGAUAUUGGUUACACCACUGUUGCUUACAAAACAUUCGACCGAUUCGACUGAUCGGUAGUAAAAAAAGAGUAUAAUAACAAGACGUAGAGCACAUCAAAAUCAGCUUCGCGAUUAACGUUUUAAAUGAAAUUGUAUCACCGUUAUCGAUAUGAUUGACGAUUGAUUGUGUUUCACGCAAUGUAAUUUUUUUGAAAGCAAAAACAUUUCAGUCACGGUGUCUACUCUCAAUUUUCCUGCACUUUUCUCCCGUGGUUGACAGAACAUUCAUAAGCAUCUGUUUCCUUUCAUUUUUUAUGGUCUGGAGUUUCCUCCCUCUCCUUCCAAUAAUAAAAUGAGCGUCAGAAAGCAGAUUUUACAAUUAGAUCGAUUAUUUUAUUCCUGUAUUUCCCAAUAAACAUAUUGAGUCUAAAUAAUGAAGAAAAAUCUCUCUUCUUCCGAGAAUCAUCAUCACAGACAGUCGAUUGCAUCGGCUCAUUCCCUACUGCGGUGUUUUCUUUCGAUUUUCGAGGUGAGAGAAAAGGAUUGUUGGUUUUGAAUAUGAAAGUAGAAGCAAUGUGCUACACUUGACCAAAACUAAAUGCUAGAAUUAUAUACUUUAGUUGAAAUAUGAUCUCAAAUGUUAGGAAAUAACGUAGUAUAAUGACGAAAAAAUAAAGCGCUACAGAAACCUCUCGAAACGAAUUUCUUUGUGUUUGCUGUUACUUUUCUAGCGAUAUAUCUUUUUCAAAUUCCGAUUGCCGUUCAUAGAUUGCAGCAUUUAAUAACAGGAGUACCUUCAUUCGAUUUUCUGAUUCUCUUGAGUGUGACAUUUGACGUCAGUCACUGAUGUUUUCACCGGUUGAAUGGGCGAACAGCAGGCUAUUCUUCCAUUUACACGAUGGUUUCCUUUUGGUUGAAUUUACUUUUGUGUUCUUGAUCUUGAACUAAGAUUUAGCACCUGUUCUCCUGAGAGCGUAUGUUUUGCUGCUCCUUCUGGUUGUUUAUUUCUGGGUCACGUACGAAUUCCCACGUUGACCGUUUUACUAGUUCGACUCGGCAUUCGAUCAUCUGUGUCUCAUACAUAUUACCUUUUCUUUUCGCGAGGAGGGGAAAAUGCUAUUACGCAUACCCAGUGACCCGUGUCACAGGGUUGUGGAAGAUAAUUGGUGGUGUGUUUUAAAUGACGAGAUAUUUUGAUAUUGAAAACCGUCAAAUAUAUUUUAAGAUAAUAGAUACAGAGAAUGUUCGCCAAGAUGUUCGGUACUAACUGAUUCGCUAAGACUAUAUAUUGAUCGCUAUUAAAAUCGCUCGAGACUGAGACUGAAAAACUGGUCACGUUACGAUCGCGUUCGUUUAUUUUGUAGAGGACAGGUAUAUAGGAUGUUUGAUCUUGAGAUUUAUUGAAGGUUAUCGUUUGUUGUCGUAACCGUCCGAAUAUAUUUAAAAAUAAUAAAUUAAUAUACAGCCUAAAAUCGCUGAGUCGUUAGUAUUGAGUAUAAAUCGCAAAAUAAAAUCGCGGAUAAAUAUUCGAUAAAUGCUCGUCGAUAACUCGGUAGAUAAUCCGUGAUAACAUUUAGAUCGCUCGUUGAUACAGGAAGAUGCUCGUAGAUUCUUGUAGAUACUAAACUCUUUUCAGUUGCGUCGGUUUAUUUAUACUGGGUUGGGGGGGGGGGGAGAUUCAAAUUCGUCUUUGUUCGACGGUUAUGGUUAUGCGUAGCAGCGACAAUGUUUUGCCCGGAGUCUAUUCGUUCUUACAUUACUUGUGUCCUAACGAUGUUGGUACUCUGAGGAGAAACAACAAUAUGAUUGUCAUCUAGCUCAUGUGCCGCUACAUAUUUAUAUACAAUUGAGUAUACGAACUUGAAGCUUUAUGGAAAUAUUACUUUUCUUAAUUUCGAAAAGUGUGCAAAAGUCAAGCCUCAAAUGUUUAUUAGUUCUCGCAAAAGUUAUCUAGCAAAUAAAACGGCGUUUUAUUUGAUCCUGAUUUCUACAAUUUCUGCACCUUGCACAGCGACUGAUAGCAACUCAAUUCUAUUCUCUCUAUUGGUUCUCUACACAAGAGUUGCAUUAUUAUGUGCAAGUCCAAUAGAUUUCCGAUUUUAAACUAUUAAAAAAUGGCUUCAUAAGCUAAUAAUAGAGAAGAAACAUCCGAAAUUUUACUCCCUUUGAAGUCUGACGUGGCUCACAGUAAAGUUUGUAUUUUUCUACAAAUCUAACAAAAGCUACAUCGUAUCACAAAACUAAGGUUCCAUUAGUUAAGAAAUCAUUUUUAGUGAACUAUUCUGAAUACUCUUAAAUAGAUGUAAGAAUUCGAAAAGAAAAUGAACUUCCCGGGCAUUGGUCAUAAAAGAAGCUUUCUGACGCGUAAGAUACCAUCUGGUGUCAUCCAAAUAUCGAGCCUGCUUCCGGUAAAUACCGUAUAUAGAUACCGCAGUAUUGGUUGUGUGGAUCGUCCAUCACGGAGAUUUUCAAAUCUCCUCUGAUGUUUGUCUGAAUCUGAAAUGGAUUUCUUUUUUUGGUAGCUGCGUGAGUUUUGUUUUGAGUGGAACCUCUGACUGAAAUUAUGCACACUAAGGGUCUUUGGUCGGUGUUGAAAGUCAAGCUUUUGAGAGAUAAAGUUGGUAAUAGCGGAACAUAUAUCGCAGAUAUUCUUGCUCAGCUCCUGAAUAGUUGCAUCUUCAGCUAUUAGUAGUUAGAAGUAGUUAAUGAUAGUAGUUAAUGAUAUAUAAAUAAAUAAAUAAAUAAAUAAUAGUCAAUAAAUAAAUAACAAUAAUAAUUUAACAUUUAAAAUGAAUAAUAAUAAAUAAGUAAAUAAAUAAUAAUAUUUUGUUCAUCCAUCUAAAAAUACGUUGCACAUCUCUAUAGAGCUUCUUAAAACAUUCAUAACAAUCGUGUUCAUUUCACUUUUCGUGACGCCAUGUUCCCUUAAAAUUUCGAUGGUUUUUGGCGUUAUGGCCCCUCUACUGCCCAAGACCACGGAUGAAAUCUCUCCAUCGUCCACACUGUAUUUUGCCAUUAGGUUGUACAGGCAUAGAAAGUAUGUGUUGACCUUCUCCUUCUCCGCUUUAAGGAAGCAAUCUCCACAAGAAUUCAUUCCUCGUUUCUAACUACGAGGUCCGGCUUAUGCAGAUUACCUCCUACUUUUAUCGUAGGCUCGACAAAUACUUCACUGUUCUUAUUUAAUUUAUUCGCGAGGUGAGACUUCAUCAUAUCGUGUCUUCUUAUUCUUAGAUCUUUGGUGUAUUGGCACAACCCUAAGAUGUGUCCUAGGGUUUCUGGUUGGGCGCGAUACCUCCUGCAAGCUACGUGUAUUAUUUUGUCGGCCCGUGCCAAUACAGUUUUUGUACCAAAGGUGUUCGUCCUUAGUCUCAGUGCAUCUAUAAAUCUUGAUGGCUUGAGCAAAUUAUACUCCUUCAACCACACGUUAUCGAUCUUUUCUCUUGAGAAGUCUUUGACUCCUUGGCCCUGACUCCUCGAUUCAGACCACUGCUUUACGUAUUCUCUCUUUAGCCUCUUUCUCGCUUUUUCAAUGUCCUCAGAAGUGGCCGGCCAAUUAAUCCUUAGGAACUUCGCUAUUUUCUUUCAUUUUUAUCUUCCUCGUCGCUUAUGAAGCUAGACGCCGCUGGAUUCAGUGAGUUUUUUAGGGUAGCUAAAGCUUCUUUAGCGCUCUUUAGGGUACCGAGUUUCACAGUGUCCUCGUCCUUUGUUUGUUAUAAUGUCUUCAACCCGCUCUGGCGCGCAGUUUGAGUCAACGAGAUAGCACCCGUCCUCUGUCUCUUGGGCACUCUCCUGACGACCAACGUGUCCAUUCCUUACAGCUUUUCUCUUACUUCUUUUUUACUCGACCGCUUUGCUAGUUAAAUACUUAUUUGUUUCUACGUUGAGGUAUUUAUAAUUCUUAAAAUUUUGUUCAAGUUCCUUCAGGAGAGUGAUCUUUUCUACCGACCACACUCUACUUUCUUGAUUAGUGGAGUGUACUUUCGGACGUUUGCGGGGAGACGCGAUCUCGAAGAAGCGCGCCAAGGGAGUCGUAAAUUCCCGUUACGACUUGACUAAUCGACGGCACGAAUCGUUCUAUCCCUUAUUUCUUGUGGGAUAAUAAGGAUGGUUGAUUGAAUAAAACGCUGCUAGUAACAGGUUACUAUAUAUUCGAAUGAUCCAACAACUUCAGUGUGAUACAAGAUUGAGUAUUUGAAGUGACAACUCCGAAUGAGUACGACCUGAGACUCCUUUCGUGUUGACGACGGUGAUGAUAUAUAUUCUGUCGAUUGACUGUCUUCGACUUGUAGAUUAUGCUUGACUUCCGACUCUUGCUGUUCUUUGCACUGUCCUCUGAUUCGAGUUAAUGUAGACUAACUGAUAAGCUUUAACUGUUACUUCAAUGUGACUGUGGAACAAGUCUAGAGCGCAAGUAGAAGAAGUUGAGUUGACUCUCCUGAUGUCAUAGAAGAAGUAUAGAGAUGAACUGACUGCUCUGUUAUGAUAGCGGAGUUCGUUCUUGUGUAAUUACGGAGGAAAGCUCGGUGUGGGUGUGUCUUUUGAAUUAAGGACGUGGAUUAGGUGUUCACACUUUUCGUUAGAAAAGUGAGGGUAACGAUCCGCGAUGCCCAUUGGUUAUAGCUAACGUUAAUAAAUGAAGAUUGGAGGGGCAAGCCUCCUACCGACGUGACUCGGGGUUGACCUUGUUCAUAGGAAAACCCGGCUAUUCCGUUAGACAAAUAUUCACCUUUCCGUUAGGUAACUACCCGCUUUCUCUGUCAUUUGUAAGAACGUGCAAUAAACCUAAGGACUGUUUUAAUUACCAGAUAUAAACCGAAAAUACUUGCAGGAUUAAAGGUACCUGCAAGCUAAUAAGAUUCGGUUUAUGGUGAGGCCUUAGGUUUAUCGAGGGUCUGUCUAAUGGUGCUUGGGCCUUGACGGUCAGACAAUGAAGGACAUCGCACGAACCAUUUCACGCGACAUAACAUGGAGUCUGUUAUUCCUCUUCUCUUAACAUUUCUGACGGCAGGGUGCGCAUGCCACUCAUGCAUCUAUAACCCUCUUUGGGUCCCGAAACUCAUGGGGCAAGCAUCGCAUUUGAAUCGACCCUCACUGUACUCCGUAGGGUCGCUACAUUUCAGUAUAUGGCAUCUCGCCCCAUGGAGCUUUGGAAAGAUUCUCCCACAAUUUAUGCAUCCCCAUUGAAUGGGAGUAUCGACAUGAAGCAAAUUAAUGUGCUUGUCUAGGUCUCUCAACGUCAUAAAGAAAAGGUGGACUUCCCUUUUCUCGCAGACAGGACAAGCGAGCAUAUCGCCCAUUAAUGGGACCAAAAUCUUAAAGCAACUAAUAUCCAGGGACAUAGACCAGUCGUCAACUAUGGUUCCCUCCGAAACGGGUAAAUCCGCCACAGCGCUUCUGGGACCGAGAAGCGUUGCGUCCGAGGCUUCUUCAUUAUUACUAUUUAUCUUUAACAAAUAGUUUUGUUUCCAAUCAAAAAAGUUUCCAAUCAUUCCAUCUCAUAAAUCAAAUUCUUGCGAAAUCGUCAACGAUUCCCAUCAAAGGAACAGAUUCCUUUUAUAUUUGAGGUCUCCAAUUCUUCACAGUACAAACCGUUGUAUCGGCAAGCCGACUCGAUUUCCUUUGUGUCUUCCGCUCUUUCGUCGCCACAUUCCGUUUAGCCAUGCACGCCGCGUCCAGAGGACUAUUCCGACACGGCGGACAUGUUACCGGCGGUACCACAGGGAGGUAGGAGUGCGACUUGAGCAAGUGAGACGUCUCCCUGCCCCUGAGCAACUAUGACUCUCCAAAGAACCCACAGCACGACCGUUAAAUAGCGGCGUGCUGCUUACAACCUGUGGAACCUCUAAAACGAGGCUCCAUACUUCCGAGGUACCCCCUCGUAGGGACUUAUAACUACGUUCAUUUAUAAUUGACAUAUGUCAGUAACAAUAAAUAUAUAUAAUAACAUAAACUGAUAAAUAAAUAAUAGAUAUAGCACACCAU